CAAUCGGUUUAGAACAGAAUUUAGAUCACAAGUAAAAAGGAAUCAAAUUUGUUCAAUCACCCAAAUGAGUUAAAUGAAACCCAAGAAAGAUAGAUGAUAUCCCUUGAACCCAAUCCAAACAAGCACCAAGAACAAUUGAAAUAGGAAAUUAAAAUUGAAAUACAAGUGAUAACAAUUGUAUUCCAAAUCAACACAUUGUGCUUAAGUGAAAAGAAAGCCAAAACGCUCUCAACUCAAUUCUGAAAUAUUUGAUUACAACUCCUGAUAUCCACAAAGAAGAGUUCCUUUCAUAUUUAUAGUCAAAGAAAUCAAUAAUAAGUUACAAUACAAUAACUACAAUUAUAACUUCCACAAUAACUAAGCUAAUUAUGUG
rnacentral:lncRNA from 1 species